rnacentral:misc_RNA from 1 species
UUCAUUGAUUCCCAUUUUGAUGCCAAACCAGAUGGCCCUCCUGUUGUGUUGUUGGAUUCUGAGUUGCCCACAUCAAGCAAUGAUACCUUAGCAGAGGUGAUGUUCUUCUCCGCAGGUCUAGCAUUGGCAUGUCUACUCUGUUCUCUAAAGGCAGCAUAUUUGUUGCUAAUGGCUUCUUUACUGACGCCAUAUGAGCGGCCCUCUUCUUUCAAAGGUGUUGAUGUGCUUCCCUUUGUAGCAUCAGUGACUAAACCAGUUGUUGCCUUCAUUUCAACACCAGUCCUAUCUGCACCAUUGCUGCCAGACUCCAUGUCCACACUGUUAAAGUUUCUUGCCAGUGGGAUAAC